GCGCAGCAGGCGAGAAAACUCCGCAAUGCCCGAAAGGGUGACGGGGGGAUUCCAAGUGCCUACGCUUAGCGUAGGCUGUUCAGGUGCCUAAAAAGCACCUGGAGGAAGGGCUGGGUAAGACGGGUGCCAGCCGCCGCGGUAAUACCCGCAGCCCGAGUGGUAGUCGCUUUUAUUGGGGCCUAAAGCGUCCGUAGCCGGUCUGGUAAAUGCCUGGGUAAAUCGUGGGGCUUAACCUCACGAAUUCCGGGUAGACUGCCAGACUUGGGACCGGUUGAGGGGAGAGGGUACUCCAGGGGUAGGGGUGAAAUCAGCAAGGUAAGCUGAUGUAACUUGCCUUGCAAGUCACAAUCCUGUAAUCCUUGGAGGACCACCGGUGGCGAAAGCGCUCUCCUAGGACGGGUCCGACGGGUGAGGGACGAAAGCCA
rnacentral:rRNA from 1 species